GACGAACGCUGGCGGCGUGCUUAACACAUGCAAGUCGAGCGGAAAGGCCCUUCGGGGUACUCGAGCGGCGAACGGGUGAGUAACACGUGGGUAACCUGCCCUUCACUCUGGGAUAACUCCGGGAAACCGGGGCUAAUACCGGAUACGACCACUUUAGGCAUCUUCGGUGGUGGAAAGUUUUUCGGUUGGAGGAUGGACCCGCGGCCUAUCAGCUUGUUGGUGGGGUAAUGGCCUACCAAGGCAGUGACGGGUAGCCGGCCUGAGAGGGCGACCGGCCACACUGGGACUGAGACACGGCCCAGACUCCUACGGGAGGCAGCAGUGGGGAAUAUUGCGCAAUGGGCGGAAGCCUGACGCAGCGACGCCGCGUGAGGGAUGACGGCC
rnacentral:rRNA from 1 species